GGUGCCUACAGCUGUGUGAGUGUGUGCGUGCCCAUGUGUGUGUGCAAGCAGGCCCGUGCGUGUGAGUACGUGGCGGGGGGAGGCUAGGAGCCCCGGGCCCCCCCGUGGCCGUCCUGGCUGCAAGGAUAUCGUCCAGCGCUCAAGCGAAGCUCCAACGCACUCCAAACCCAGGGGUAUUCACUGUAACACAACAGAUUAAGCAAAUAGGACUGGAGAGUCAUUUGGGAUCUUUUUCCUUUCCACACACCCCCUGCGAGGGCAGGGCCUGCCGGGAGAGCCGGGAGAGGCCCCUCUGCUAAGGCAGGCAGAGCGUCACUAGGCACAGCAAUUAUUCUAAAAACAUCUGGAGCAUGAAAUUUUAAAACGCCAGAAUCACAGUGGGUCGAGCCGAUGCCUAGGAUACUCUCUGCACGGUGGCAUAGGAGAGGCCGAGGAGCUUUCCCAGGAGAAAGAAAUCCAGAAAGCACAGAGGAUGGCUUACGGAUCAACACCAUAGAAAGACAACCCGGCCUUUUUGCUUUCUGUUUCACAGAUGCAUUCAAUGGACAUUAAAAAACAGA